rnacentral:rRNA from 1 species
AUGGCAGCUGGGGCGACAGCUGAGCGAGAGGCCGGCCACGGCGGCGGCGGCGACGGUGCCGAGUGGAGGGUGGACGUGCCGGCGGCCGGCGAGGACGAUGGCGUCAAGGGCGGGCGGUCGUGGUCGUGGCUCUUGUCGUGGAUGGCCGCGCCGAGGGACAGGGUGGCCGGGUUCGGCAGGAUGGUGUGGAAGGUCGGCGCGGACGACCCGAGGAGGGUGGUGCACGGGCUCAAGGUGGCCCUCGCGCUCGCCCUCUGUUCCGUCUUCUACUACGUCCACCCCCUCUAUGACUUCACCGGCGGGAACGCCAUGUGGGCCGUGCUCACCGUCGUCGUCGUCUUCGAGUACACCGUCGGCGCUUGCUUGUACAAAGGCCUCAACAGGGCCAUGGCGACGGUGGCCGGCGGCGCGCUGGCCCUCGGCGCGCACUGGGUCGCCAGCCAGUCCGGCAAGGAGUUCCAGCCUUAUGUCCUCACCGGCUCCAUGUUCAUCAUGGCUGCGGUGGCGACCUUCUCCCGGUUCAUCCCGACGAUGAAGGCCAAGUUCGACUACGGCGUCACCGUCUUCAUCCUCACCUACUGCCUCGUCUCCGUGUCGGGGUACCGCGCCGACGAGGUGGUGUUCAUGGCGCAGCAGCGCCUCACCACCAUCGCCAUCGGCGCCUUCAUCUGCUUCGCCGUCUGCACCUUCGUCUUCCCGGUCUGGGCGGGGCAGGAGCUCCACGUCCUCGUCGCGCGCAACAUGGACAAGAUCGCCGCCGCCGCUGAGGGCUGCGUCGAGGACUACUUCUGUGACCCCGACGCCGACGCCGGAGAGAAGCCGGCUAGGCGGGCGCUCUCCGCUAAGUCGAAUGGGUACAAGCAAGUGCUGAACGCCAAGGCGUCCGAGGACUCGCUGGCCAACCUGGCCAAAUGGGAGCCCGGCCACGGCAAGUUCGGUUUCCGGCACCCCUACGGGCAGUACCAGAAGGUCGGCGCCGCCAUGCGCUGCUGCGCCUACUGCAUCGACGCCCUCGCCGCCUGCGUCGGCUCCGAGGCCCAGACGCCGGCACACGUCAAGAAGCACCUUGCCGGCACCUGCCUCGCCCUGGGCCGACACUUGGCCACCGUGCUCCGCGAGGCCUCGGGCUCUGUCACGUCGAUGACGCGGUCCGACCGCCUCGGGCUCGUCGUGGCGGACAUGAACGCCACCGCCCAGGAGUUGAGGGACAAGCUGAGGUGCCUGGCCACGGUGCUGGAAGAAGGAGAGGACGAAAUAUCAGAGGCAGAGCACGAGCAGAACGCCGUGACGGAGCUGCCGACGCCGCCGCUCAUCGAGGCGCUGCCGCUCUUUAGCGCCGCCUCCAUGCUCCUGGAGGUCUGCGCGAGGGCGGAGCUGGUCAUCGGCGCCGUCGAAACCCUGGCCACGACGGCGAGGUUCAAAAAAGCCGACCACGACGAGAAGGCGGCACUGGACACCGAGGCGUCCGUGCCCGCCAUCUCCAUGAGCAACCCCAUCGACGCCCACGUAUCGCAGGAGAUACACGUGAAGGUCGCCGGUGACCAGGAGAAGACGGAGACGGCCCAGAAGGCGAGCACGAGCUCCGGCAAGGCGCCGCGGGACCAGGUCGGGGAGCUGAUCAAGGUGCUGAUGCGCCGGGGGAGCACCAAGAAGUGGGCGCGGGGGGACACCAAGGUGAGCCCCAAGCCGCCGCAGGACUUCACGGUGAGCGUGCCGUGCCCGCGGAACCGCGCGAUGGAGCUCGCGGGGCACGGGCCGGUGGCGCCCAGCCCCAGGAACCGACCGGCGGAGCUCGCGGGGCACGCGCUGGCGGUGCCCACCCCGAGGAACCGCGUGGUGGAGAUCGGCGGGCACGCGCCGGUGGCGCCCAGCCCCAGGAACCGGUCCGUGGACCUCGCGAGCCACGGAGGCGUCGUGCCCAGCCCAAGGAACCGCUCCAUGGACUUCGCCACGCACGCCCCCAGCCCACGGAACCGAUCCAUACUUGGGAUGGCCUGA